UGCUAUUGGAGUCCGAUUUAGCCAUGCUAGUCGCGCGGGUUUAGACCCGCGGCAUAUAGCUCAGUAACACGUGGCCAAACUACCCUAUGGACAGGGACAACCUCGGGAAACUGAGGCUAAUCCCUGAUACCGCUCUCAGACUGGAGUGUCGAGAGUGAGAAACGCCCCGGCGCCAUAGGAUGUGGCUGCGGCCGAUUAGGUAGAUGGUGGGGUAACGGCCCACCAUGCCAAUAAUCGGUACGGGUCAUGAGAGUGAGAGCCCGGAGACGGUAUCUGAGACAAGAUACCGGGCCCUACGGGGCGCAGCAGGCGCGAAACCUUUACACUGCACGACAGUGCGAUAAGGGGACUCCAAGUGCGAGGGCAUAUAGCCCUCGCUUUUCUGUACCGUAGGGAGGUACAGGAACAAGUGCUGGGCAAGACCGGUGCCAGCCGCCGCGGUAAUACCGGCAGCACGAGUGAUGGCCGAUAUUAUUGGGCCUAAAGCGUCCGUAGCCGGCCGAACAAGUCCGUUGGGAAAUCCACGCGCUCAACGCGUGGGCGUCCAGCGGAAACUGUUCGGCUUGGGGCCGGAAGACCUGAGGGGUACGUCCGGGGUAGGAGUGAAAUCCUGUAAUCCUGGACGGACCACCGGUGGCGAAAGCGCCUCAGGAAGACGA
rnacentral:rRNA from 1 species